rnacentral:lncRNA from 10 species
CUCUGCCCAACAAUAAAGCCAGACUGGACCCUGGGGAAGGGUCAGCGGUAACAGGGAUUGCAGGAUCAUAGCAGUAGCUGGGGUAGCACUGGUGGUCGACUGAAUAAUGGCCUCCAAUGAUGACAGGGUCCUGAUUCCAAGGACCUGUGGCUCUCACCCUACAUGGUAAAAAGGACUUUGCGGAUGUGGUGGGGGAACCUUGAAAAGGGGAGAUCAUCCUGGCCUCUCUGGGAGGGUCCAGUUAAUCACAGGGGUUCUCAGAAGAGAGAGGCAGGAGCAUCCAAGUGAGAACGAGAAGAUGUAAGGAUGAGCGCAGAGGUGAGAGCAGAGAAGAGGCUAUGCUGCUGGUGCUGAGGGUGGAGGAAAGGGACACAAACCAAGGAAGUGGUGGCCUCUGGAAAACUGGAAAAGCCAAGUGAUGGUUUCCCCCCUCGAGCCUCCAGCAAGACCAGCCCCGGCAACACCUUGACUUUGUCCCCAUAGAAAUCGUUUUGGAACUCUAACCUCCAGAGCUGCGGGAUCAUGAAUCUGUGUCAUGUUAAGCCACUGAGUGUGUGACCACUCAUUGCAGCAGCCACAGGAAACUGAAUGCAGUGUUGACAGUGACAGCCACAACGGCCAGCAGUCCAGAGAACUACGAGUGUACCAGACACACUUCCCCUGAGAAAGCUGCCUGUGCACGGUGACUCCCCAGCAACCCCGGAGGAAUCUUGCUGGAUGCAGGGCAGACGUUUCUCCGUGGCCUCCCCUGAGAUUCAGAGAUAAGGUCUAAGAAGGCACCUGGUGCAGGAUGAUGUCUAAGCACUCACCGUGUCCCCUGAAGCCACAUCUGCUGUGUCUCCUCCAAGUUUGACUCCAGCUCCAAGGACUGACCUUCCCCAACCCAAGACUUCCUCCAGGCUCCUCCCUCUCCAAAAUGCUCUCUCCAGAUCCUUGAAUGGCUAACUUCUAAUUCUUCAGAUCUCAACUUAGAUGUCUCCUCGGAGAGGCCGCUCCACCCCAAAUUCUCACUGUGCCCCACAGCGCUGCCGAGUCCCAGUGCCCCUGCUCAUGUGCACACCUGGGGAGGCUCUGUUGCUGCCCAAGACAGAGGUUCCAGGAAGAUGAGACCUUGUCCAACCCCUGGAGGACAGGAUCUCACUUGAAGACCUUGAGGAGGUCCUGGUGAAGCAAAUGACAAGUGAUCACACAUGCUUCAGAGACAGCUUCCACUAUGGAAGCAGCCCUGUCAAACCGAAUGCCCUGCAGAGCAAGGCAAGACAAACAAAUGCUCCUUAUGGCUAAAGUUGAAAACAUAGAUGAUGAGCAAAAGAAGGAAAAAGUCCGGAACCUCAUAUUCAGAAAUAACCACUGUCAGCAUUUUAAACUAUUCUCACCUUUUGUAAUUUCUCCUUUGGAAGUACCACAUGAAGACCUGACUUUUGGCCCAAGCUCUGCUGAGCAGGUCACCAUGGUAGACCUGGGACCUCCAGUUUCCUAUCUGUAGGUUGGAAAUCGUGGUGACUCUUAGUGUAGUUCACAGCACGCAUAGAAAGGCCAGUGCAAUGAUGCAGGUGGAAGUGCUCUAAAGAUUCUCCAUGGAUACACGUCAUCCUGGGGUGACAAUAAGGUGUAAGCAUGCAGCCUUUGCUGUGAAGUUGUCUGCAGAAACGUUAACUGACACAACUCCUCUCCAUUUUCUGAUUAAUGGGGGAAAAUAUGUAUAAGGGUUGAUGUAAGAUCAAUGCACAAUAUUUAAGUGUGCAAGCAAGCACAGGGAAGUCAAUGAAAGAUAUCAAAUUUUACUAAUUUUGAACAAUAAAAGACACUACUUUUCUUCAAGCAACACACACUCAAGCUCAUUAUGUGUUUCUACAGCCCUUACUCAGGGAGUGGCUGCUGGCAGUAGAAGGUGUCCUAAGAUGGAUAAAACCAUCUCUGUCGUCCUGGAUCUUGUAAUCUCUUGGAGAAAUAAGUGGCAAGCAUGCCACACAAGUGCAUGCCAGCUUCUCUCUAGGAGAAGGUGGUGCCAUUGAUACUCUCCUGAUAAUGGGUACAGGCCAUGCGUGGCAGAAAUAGAACCCACCCACGGCAGUUGCUCUUUCUCUAACUGGCUGCCUUUCCCUAGAGCUGCUCCAGCUGGGAAAAUCAGGGCCCUGGGCCACAGGCACAGGCUCCGGCUGAGCAGGAACACACUGUGAAGGUACUGAGGUUGGAUGCCAGUCCCCAGGACCACCUACUCGGUUUGUGAGUUGCCAAGCCCAUGACAUCUCCCGCAUGCCAUCUUCUUGGUCAUCCCACACCCAGUCAUCAGCGUGCUGGUAGCUCCUGUUCAAGAUGGCAGCCCAAACCUUGGGUGCCCAGAAGACAGCUUUAUAAGCAGUUUAACUGCAGGAGCUUCACCAGGUUCCUUUCUCUAUGUUCACACUGCACUCUGCCCUCUGAGGCUGUCACUGUAGUUAGAAAACACAGGGUCAACAGUCAAUUGGCUGUUGUAAUCCAGCCCAUUUGGAGACACGAAUAAAAGCAGCUCACUUGUUCCCAUCAACAUUCCAAGAAUGAGUGGUCAAGAGGGCUAGGGAUAAAAAUGGUAAUGAAAUCUAGCGAUGGAGCAUAGCUUGACUGUCAACACAUGGUGGGCACGUGGUUAGAUGGUUCUCAGGGAUUAACUCAAUGUGGGAACUGUGGGAAUGUGCUGGGGGAGAUCCUCUGGGGGCAGUGAACUUCUGAGGAGAUGCUCAGAGGCUGACGCCUCUAAGUCUGGAGGCUGGUGCUGGCAGUAAGUGAGACUUCAAGCCAUGGCCUCACGCUUUACCCCGUGGCUUUUCUACCCAUCCAGGAAACUACCUGGGGUAUGAACCACCUCAUUCUUACAGAGAAGGGACAUGCAGAUCAUGGGCUUCCAGCACCCACCUGGGUUCACACAGAAAGAACAGGAAGGUCAGGGGCUGGGCUGGGCUGGGUGUGAUGUGUCCUCCAACCCACUUAAUUAUUUAGAGGUUUUUUAAGGAAAAUAAAAAUAUAUCUUAGAGUUUGCAGAUCUGCUUAAGGGGGAAAUAAUUGUUCUCACCCAGGUGGAAUUUUGUCCCUGUAUCACAGGAUGGGCCUGGCCAUUUGUACCCAUGCAGCCCUGUUUAGCUCUGAACCCCGGAAGCUGAAAGUGAGAUGGAGAAAGGGUGGGCAUGGGAGUCAGAGACAAGGAGGACUUUCUUAAGAUCGAGUCCUCCACUGCUAGAGAGGUGUGCCAUGAGAGAUGGUAAAUUGCUAUUUCCUAGCAACUGUUACUAAGUAGAUUUUAAGCUCUGUGUGUAUGGAGUCAGAAUGUGUCAGGGGAGAACGGGGCAAGAGAGAAAGAGUGAAGGCGUGGGGGCAGCUGAGCAGUGAGAACCUCCAACUCUUGACAUUCUUCCUGACGGUAGAGGUUGGUAAGGGAAAUACCUGAGUUCUUUUCAUGUCCGGCAAAUAUUCCCAGCAUUGCUUUUGCUCAAGGUGACCUCACUCUUUCCAACUGACUCCUGGCACAGGAAGUCGCCUGGAAAUCAGACUCCGAGGCAGGGCUCUGCAUGGAAACCCUCUCAGAGGGGAAAGGCGGUGAGAACAUAUGGUCUCAUUGCCCAGCCCAGUGCUGAGUGGGGGAUUGUGUCAUCAUCCCCUGUUAAAGGACCCUCCAUUGCUGCCACAAAGGCACCAGAACCCCGCUGCAAAGGCCAAAGCCUCCAUGCAAGUGCGCCCAGGGGUUCUCCUCGGACAGUCCACCGCAAGCCCACAUUACCUUCACUACAGACCUCACGGAAAAGCAGCUCUUAGGUAUAAACAGCCUCUCUCCUGCCUGCUGACGCUUGUCCUUGAUAAAUCAAAACAUUACUAAAUCCGUGCUGAGGUGCACGAGCGACAUAAAGGGCCCCAUUGUUCCAGAGCAGCUGGCAGCACACACGCUCGCGGGGCCCAUUGUCUCCACGCAGGCACGCAGGGCUCACCCCGCCUGGUUGUCUAACCAUCCACCACAUACGCAGUGGCAGAGUCACCCCAGCCACAAGGGCCUCCGGCGACCCGGCCGGGUGUGUUAAGAUCUGUGAAUUAAGAUCUGUGUCGGGUUCUCCCCCUCACUAGGACUGAACUCCUUUAUUUCCAGUGAUAAUUGCUACAUAUGCUCACACAUGAUUUAUUGUUGUUGAUGGCAACGUAUCCUCAGAAAGUUUGCCAAAGGGCGUUGACUGUUAUUGAUAUGUACAUAAAGAUGAUAAAUGAAGAACUGUACCCACCAAAUUGCUACCAGUUAUGAUUAGUUAUCCCCUUGUUUUAUUUUGUGGGGAUUAGGAGAUGCACAAUCGCCCCGAGUGAUCCUAGCAUUCCUGUCUGGUGAGCACAGGCGCUGGAGGUGUUCUCACACGUGUACGGUGAUGCCAGGCAGCGAUCCGCAGGCGAUUUAAUAAAGACUCCAGCUCAGAUUUCAAAAGAGCCAGGCAGACACUCACGCUUUGGCAUACUUUGCAUUGCUGAGUUUGUGGAGUAGACAAUUCCACAUUUUGUCCUUUUAAUGAGUGUCUCUUAUUAUUUUAACUCAACGUUCCAGGCAAAUAAGGCACCAGCCUGUUGUCUUAAUAGGAUAACAUUUUUCUUAGAUUUGGUAAUCAGUUUGCUACCCCCAUUUACAAAGAUUGGACCUGUUUAGAGUCAGCUGGCCCAGCAGGGUGGGUGUCUUUGGGGGCAGGUAGAUUGCAUUAAAGGACCUAAGGACAGAGAGAUUGCAGCCUCCAUAGUUGAAAUCCCAAAAAGAACAUUGAGCUCACUUCAGCAGAAUUUCCCAAUGACUUUCUUUCAAAAAGGCCUUUCGACCUGAUGUCAGUCUUUAAGUGAAUCAGAGACCAAAUAAGAGCUAAUGAUGCCUGGU